rnacentral:misc_RNA from 1 species
GGAUAACAGAUAAUGAAGUGAAACGUAACAUAGAAGGACGCUAAAAAUAAGAAGCAAGCAUCUCCGUACAAAGUUAAUUUACCAGAACAUGAGAAGAAUUGUGAGUCAUUUCUUUACCAGAAUAUGAAAAUUGAGAAGGCAUGCAAAUGAGUUUUUGCAAGCAUGACUCAGAGACUAAAGUGACAGAUGAGUCACUUCUUC